AAAAAUCAAACAGUAUGCGUCGACGCAUACAGGGGUAUGGUCGACGCAUCGCUCGAAAAUUUCAUGUUUCUGCAAAAAAAAAAUUUAAAUCAUCUUUCAUGCAUUCACAUCAUUAAGUGUGCAUUUACAUUCCAUCACCUUUCAAACUACCCACUACUUUGUAACUUGCAUCUACCUAGUGGCUAUUGUUCUUUGUUCUUCCAUCUUCCCAAAACCCUAACCUUUCCACUAUAAAUU
rnacentral:lncRNA from 1 species